rnacentral:lncRNA from 1 species
GGAAAUUGCCAUAUUAACUAUGAUUCAUGGUUACACAAGUAACUUUUAUGGCUGACAAAGAGGGAAUCUAAAACAUAUGACUGAAGUUAAACAAACAAAAGCUGUGCAGCCUUGUCUAGGAGCGACUGUGUCCUCUAAGAAAACACUUUGGAUUUUCACAGCUCUUUGAGUCCAUAUAUUGCAAUCAGCUAUGGCCACUGAGAAACUAAAUCACUUUUUCCUUGUGCUCUGGGUACGGUUACAGCAAAGGUUAUAUCUUCUUUAAUGUGCUGCCUUUGUACCUUCUCAACUGUAAGGAUCCUUUGCUUCAUCAGUGCAUUCCCUGGGUCUGGCUGCGUUUUGUUUGUGACUGACACUGCAGUUACUUUUAAGUACUCCACACUCCUCAAUGAUCAGAUGCCUUUGGAAGAGAGAACACACAAAACUUAUGUAUGAGCUACAUUCUCGUUUCUGGAGUGGUGGAUAUUGGGUGACCAGUCUGUGGUCAGGAAGAAGAAUGUUUGGAUCCUGAGUGUA